UACUCUAAUCUCAACGACAUCUCAGUUUUUCCAUGCUUUAAUCAAUGUGCCGUUGGGUCCGAUUGUUCAAGGCUGGGAGUUAAGCUUUCAUCAUCAACUUCAUCUCGAAAUAAUGAUGACAGCCCUGCUACAUCAAUUUUACCAUGGAAGUUUCAAUGGAUGGGAAUCUUGCUGAUAUCUGGUGCUAUACUACUCUGGAAAUAGGAAUUUCAAUAGUGUGUUGCCUCAGUUUGGCAUCACUUUACCAGUUAUGUAUACACAUAAUUGCUUGAUAUUGAUUGCGAUGUACUUAUUUAAUUAUUUGCACAAAGGAUUGAUUUUGCAUUCAUAGAAUAAACACGAGGAAGAGGAUUAUAGCUACUAGAAUAGCCUCAUAUAUAGUAGCAAGCAGCACCUUCUAUUAACAUCUUUCUUGU